CGGGAGGAGGAGGGGGAGCGAAGCAGGGAGGGGGCGCUCGGCCCCGCGGUUGCAGCUCGCCUGGCCUUCUGCGCGCGCACAGGCGACGGAACGCAGUCCUACACACUUUGAGGCAGGGAGAGGACCUUGGUUUCCAGGCCCUGAUAUCAGUGCUGUUGAUGGGAAGGGAAGGGAGAAGGCAAGAUUUGAAGUGACAGACACUUGAGGUGGCUUGGUGUGUGACAGGUGGGGAUACUUUGUAAACCAGGAGACCUUUUGGAAGGUGGGACUUGGCUGGUGAAAGUACUAGCGGUGAGCCUUUGAAGACAAGAGUCUGGAUAAGUUCCCCAGUUUUCUGCCUCCUGGUCCGUGGCGAUAUGACGUUGCAAUGAAUGCUGCUAUGGCUUUCUCCAUGCUUUUCCCACCAUGCCAGACCAGACUCUCUGAAACUGUGAGUCAAGUUCAAGUUCAUCUUUGCUCCCUCAAGUUGUUUCUAUAGGUGUUUGGUCAAGAGUGAAGAAAGAUAAUGAAUAUGCAUGCACAGGUCUUGUUUCAAAAAAGAGACUCUUUUUUUUUUUUUUUUUUUUUUUUUUUGGGCCAAUCAAUUCUCUAGGAGAUGCUGUCAUAAAGAGGGGGAAGAAUGGAAGAGGAGCAAAGCCAUUGAUAGGAGGAUGGUAUUUGUUUUUAAAACACAAAUAUAUAUAUGUAAACCUGUGUCUAAAUAUGAUUGUAAGAUAAGCCCAAUGAGACAACAUCUAGACAGUGAAAAUAUUAUUUAUUUGAGUUUCAAAAAAAAAAUGAUCAACACCUCUUGUAGUCUUUGUCAAACCAGUAAAUAGGUAACUCCAUGCUGGGCAGUGUGAAAAAAACAAAACACUGCAAUGAAUCGAAUAAAAUAUGUGUUCUGCAGGAAGCUGUAAUUUAAUAGAUAUGAGGCAAAUAUCUAUGGUCAAAAUGACAGCCAUGAACAUCAGGAACCAAAAAUACAGAAUUUCCAGGUUUUUAAAAAAAAAAAUUAAGGCCCCGCUCACAGCUCUAUUACACAAAAAGGAAUAGUUUUGAUGGAAGGUUAUGUUAAAAAUUUCUGUCUGUUUCCAGCCCUAUUUUACCAUUUGGGAGGUUUUUGUUUGUUUGUUUGUUUUUUGUCUUUUUUUUUUAGCAUAAAGGAGUGUUUUGGUAUUUUGGUAUGUAUGUCAUGAAAUCGAGCUACUGCGUUAACAAAGAUAUGUACUAUAAAUAUCCAAAUUAGAACACUUUAAAAGUAUUCAUUUAUUUUGAUUAAUGGUAGAUACAUGCUUGUUGAAUUUUAAAAAAAGAAAUUAUGUGUAUUGGUAUUUUCUUUGCACAUAUACCUACUUACCACUUUUGUGCCUGGUGCUCCCAGAGGCCAGAAGAGGGCAUUGGCUGCCCUGGAACUGGAGUUACAGACAGUUGUGAGCUAUCCUGUGGGUACUGGGAAUGAACACAGAUCCUCUGGGAAAGGAGACAGUGCUUUUAACUGCUGAGCUAUCUCUCCAGCCUCUCAUUUAGAGAUUUUUUUUUUUUUGACAAUACAGCAAAGUAAGCAUGGUGGGAAUGGAAAAGUACCAUGAGAUCGCUACUCUGAAUAAGAAUCUUUAACCUUUAUACUUCAUACUUCAAAGAUAUAUAUGCAAGGCACAUACAUAAAUCAAGUAUUUUAUUAAUGUGCCACGCAUUAUUUACCCAUACCAAUUAGGCUUCUUUGAUUUUUUUUGUUUGCUUUAUGCAAAAUUUGAAAGACAAGGUUAAAAGAAGGUCACAUCAUCCCUGCAGCAAGAUUUUAAUUUUAGCAGGUUUGUACUUUCCAAAGAUUUCCUGCUGAUCACUGAAAUUUGGGAUAAAAGCACACAUGUUCCAUAGCUAGAGGCUUGCAAGUGAGCAAGCGUUCAUUUAUGUGUAAUUAGAAUAGCCACACUUGGGUUCCCUGCAUGUAAGGCAGGUCAUUUAAUUACCAACCCUAGGAAGAAUUCAGUCCUACAGUUUCCAUUCUAGACGUGAAGACAGAGGAGGACACAGAACCAGGGAGGAGAUGGGAUGUGCCCGAAGUGAGUUAGCUGUUAAAUCAAUUUUGGUUGGCUUCUAGGUCUGAGUGACUCAGCAUGGUGACCCCAUCUGGGUACUAUGCCUGUGGACCUCACUAUUUGAGGCACUUCUGUUAUUAGCUUAGGCAACUCUCCACUGGUUUGGGGGGGAGUUCUUUAAAAAUCAAAUAUUGAGGGGGCUGGAGAGAUGGCGCAAUGAUUAAGAGCACUGACUGCUCUUCAGGAGGUCCUGAGUUCAAUUCCCAGCAACCACAUGGUGGCUCACAACCAUCUGUAAUGGGAUCUGAUGCCCUCUUCUGGUGUGUCUGAAGACAACUACAGUGUACUUACAUAUAAUAAAUAAAUAAAUCUUUAAAAAAAUAAACAAAUAUUGAGUCAGGCUUUGUAGUAUACAACUGUAAUCUUAUCCCUCAAGAAAUAUCCAUUCUAGAUCACCCUGAGCUAGGGAGAAAGUUCCAGGACAGCCUGAGGUAUAAUAUGAAAUCCUGUCUCAAAACUAAAAUAGAACCUAGUGAUAUUGGACAUAUUAGAAACUGUUCUUGGAGUUACUCUGGUUCAAGGGCAGUUGCUGUGUUUUAUUUCUAUAAUAUUCUUUUAUUAGCAGUAACUGCUGAUGAGGAUCAUGGCCAUCCAAAGCUAUACUACAGACCAUGUUGUCCCUUCUUAAAGAAUGCCAUGAUGUCAUACAUUUCCACUUAAGUGCUACACAAACUCCCCAUCCCAAAGACACCAAAUGUGUCUUUUGCUCCUUGCUGCUUCUAUGGGAGAUGUUUACUCUCAUAAUGGCUUCAUCUUUCUGUUAACCCCAGGGCCUUUUCACAUACAGCAAGAUGAAUCCAAAUCCUCUCUUUCCAAUAAGGCCUCUGAGGCUAUUGCAUUUUAUGCUCAAAUAUAGCAUUAAAAUAUUAUUUCUAAUUUUUGAGUAUGAGAUGUGAUAUGAAUAAGCAAAAUUAGUGUCUUAAGUGCAUGAACUAUGGUGCCCUGAAAUUAAAACAGAAUUUGAAAGCUUAAAUAGUGCUGUUUAAAGCAGGGUAGAUGUUACACUAAAUGAUAGGAAAUUGCUUUUCAGGGUCAAUACUGGCAAUUUCAUAAUGUUCAAUCGAAUGCAAAGCUAUUGCAGCAGCUUAGCUGUGAAAAUGCCAUGUGGCUGCUCCUCUCUCUUGCUUCCAAAUUAUGCAAGCAAAAUAACUGAAUGCAAACUUCACAGAAAUGCAUAUAUAACUGCCUUUUAAGGGCCUAUCACUAUGCCCUUCACAUGUGAAAAUGCUUUUUAAUAAUGUUCCUUUGGCACUUAAACUGGUUGAAACGCCUUGGAGAGCAGCCAAAGCAGAAAUCCAGCACGUUAUGGGCUAGACUGAGAGUGGAGCAGAGAUCGGCUGAAAUGCUACAUCAGAGAACACAGGCAGCAGCAUCUCUCCCUCCAAAGGGCGAGGGCACUCCACAGGACAUGAAUAACUAUUCCUUUACUGUUCUGCCACCAUGUUAUCUGAUCCCAAAGCUACGGAACUACAGAGGAGGAGCAACUCUGAGAUGGUCUUGACAGGACCCAUGUCAAGGGAGGCUAGCAUUAGUUCUGACCUGCGUGGUAGGAUUUUGUGUGGUUGCUUUGCUUUAUUUUUCACUAAUGGUCACUAUUUGGAGAUUUUAACCUAAGCGUGUUGAUUGGUAGGUGUGCUGGAGUCUAUUUGGAGAGAAGAUUCCAGACCCAGGCUACUAUUUGACACCAUUCUAUUAGUUCUAAAAGGGGAUGUUUUAAAAGUGUUACUUUUAAUUGACAAGUGAUCACUGUACAUAUUUAGGGUUACAAAAUUAUGUUUUCAUAAUGAACAUGAUAUAUGAUGAUCAAGUCGUAGAAAUGAGCAUAUCCAAAUAGUUCUAUUUUCUGUAAUGAGAACAUUUAAAAAUCUUCCUUUACAGCCAUGUUGACAUACAUAGCACAGGGUUGUUAACCAUACCCAACCACCUGAACGUUUAUUUAAUUGAAAUUUAGUGGCUUAAGCAUCAUUAAAUUCCCUAGCACUAGGACAUACAAUUUUUACUACAACCAUUUAUUUACUUUGGUAGCGGGUUUAUUCAUUGCCACAUUGCAUGUGUGGAGGUCAGAGGACAACUUGUGGGAGUCAUUUCUCUCCUUUCACUAUAUGGGUCCCAGCAACUGAACACAGGUGGUCAGGCUUGGCUACCAGCUCCUUUGCCUGUGAGCCUGUGUAUCAGAGGUUUUCCACGGAGAUCUCUGGCCUGGCCUGUACCAGAGUUCCAGCGAAGGGAAGUGAGUGCGGGCAGGGAGGGGAACUUGUUUCCACAGCUUCAGCUGCUGCAGUUGGCGCCACCUCUGUCUCUGCCAUGCCUUCCCAGUUCGGUUACUUGGUUACUCUGUGCCCCCCUGCACUGAUUGGGGUCUGGCUCACGAGGCUGUCUAGCCAGUGAGGGGUGCAGCAGAGCUUCAGGCAGCGUUUCAGGAGAGCAGAACUCUUCCCAAGUGUUACAACAGCUCUUAUGACAGAAGCUCUCGGAUUUCUGAGUAGUUUUCGCACACAUUUAAUCCUUCUGGACAGGACUCUAAUAUACAGUUUUGGGGUGAGUCAGGGAUUGACAACAGUUACUUCUCGUUGGCAUGGCCUGUGAGCUUUGGGGAAACCUUAUUUGCCUGGGGGAAUGGCUUGGUGCAGCUCCUAUCACAUACCACUCUGCAGAGGGUGGCAGGUUGUGAGAGGUUGUAGCUGGGACUGGAGCCAGGGGUCCAGGAGGCAUGGCCAAACUCCUACCAUCCCAUGAAGGCAGAAGUCACCGCCCACCAGGUCUCUGGGGUUGAAGGCCUGUGCUCCACUGGGGACCAAGCUGUCUGUGCACUAAGUUUACCGAGUCAACACAAGCUUUUCUAUUUGCAGCUUCUCAUUUAGUACUGACCAUGAAAUUUUGGCCUCUACAGAUUCUUUGCAAAUGCCCAACCACUGAUAUGCUCUAGCCCUCAAUGUGUCUAUGUAGAUUCCACAUAGGAGCAAGAACGUAGGGUAUUUUUCCUCCAGAUUGCAGCUUACUUUAUUGAUUGUGUCUUCCAGGACAGUCCUUGCUAUUGUAGAUGACUGAAGCCUGAAAGGGGUAUCUAAUAAAGAAUUGCAGGUGUGUAGGGAAGAAUCUAAUUUCAUUCUAGAAUUUUGCACUAGUUUUCUACAAAUACCACGAUCUCCUUUUAUGCUUCUGGGGGUAUUUCAUCAAAAAACGUUUUACAGCUUCCUUUAAAAAGGAAGCAAAACAUUGUAACAACGGCUUGUCUGUCAUGGUUUCAUAUGCAUAUUUCAUAUUCGACUGAAUUAUUCCACGGCGUGUAAGCAUGCAAGUGUUUAAGGUGACAAAUUUAAACAACAUGCAUAAUAAUGCAAAAAGGGGGCAUGCCCUUUAAAAGUUUCAUCAGCUCAAUAGAGUUCUCCUGCAACUUCUGACCUGGCUAGGAGGGGCCUUCCAAUCUGUGGUUGGCUUUGCUGCAUCUUCCUUUGGUCCUGUUUUACUUGGGAUGCCUUGCUGGCUAAUGGCAACACCCUUUCUCUGAUAAAACCUGACAGACUUGGGAGAACUUUGUGCCCAAGGGUGACUAAUUCAGAUGUUUAGAACUAAGCAAAGAACAUCACCAGGAGCCCGGGUGUUGUGACUGAACUUAAUAUAUGUGUUCCCCCAGAGAUUUGUGUGUUUGAACACUUACUUGGUCCCCAGGAGAUGAUGGUCCUCUGCUGGAAACUUGCGGCACCUUUAGGAGGUGGAGAACCAAUAUAGGAAGUGUGUCAUCAGUCACCAGGAAGCCUGGAGAGAUAUUGUAGCCUAGACCCAUUUCCUGUUCACUCUGCUUCCUGUCUGUGGAUGCUAUGUGAGCAACAGCCUCCUGUUCCUGUCACCAUGCCUUCAUUGCCACUGUGGACUGUGUCUCCUCUAACUUCCAAUAUUCUUGAUCUUUCUGGAAUUGCAUGGAGUCUACUAGAAAACUUAGAGAGGAAAAUAGACACAGAGAACUGCUGAUCUGUCCUGGAGGUCACAGCCAUGAAUCCACUACAGUCAACACAGAGCUCUUUCCAAGAAGUGCCAUCCGAGGCCAUGCUGACUCAGGGACAGACAGCAAACUGCUGCUGAGCUGGGCAUCUUCCUUUUCCAGUGUCUCAGCAUCAGUCGUGUCUGAGACUGUGGGGCCAGUCCAAUGGCAUUACCUAUGUGCCCUCCUUUCUGCUUCUGCAGGGAAACCAGCAAGUAAUCCUCAUGUCUCCCUACAAUCUCCCUAAAUAUUGUACUCUAUGAAUAAACAUGUGGACAAAAAUA